AAUGUCCACAAUACACUUGAAAUCCUUUUCAUAAAAAUCAAAAUUCUCUUAAGAGUAGUGUGCCGACGAAAAUACCCUUAUAAACCUUGUAUUGCGUUUUUACCCUCUGACUCACCAUCUCGUUGUUCCAGUAAUUCACAAUUCACUCUCCUUGCUUUCUCUUCCGUUGUCCCCCUUCUCUCUCAUAACCAUAAACCCAAAAAUGAAGGUAAUAGUGGGAACAGAUCUAGAGAGAAAAGGAAUGACCCUAGCAACGCUGAACUUUACGCCGACCGUGCUCAACCUGGCAUCAAAUUCUCCAACUUUACUGUUAAAGAUAUUGGUGGUCAAAGUUGUGCAUUGGCAAGCGUGUCGACUCGAACCGGUGCGUGUAUUCCGAGACGGAGGGAGUAGUAUAUUUACACUAAUGAAAGUACAUUUAUACUAUUUUGUUAAUGCUUUGAUUCAUGAAAGUAUGGUUGAUUUUAUCCCUUUUUAUUUGUUUAUUGUUUAAUUUUAUAGGGUUUUUAGCCGAAUUAUUGAAUCAUCUGUCAACUGAUGUUAUAAACUACUAAUCUAUUUUAGAAGAUCGGGUCUUAUUGAGCUUGACACCAAUGAGAGAAGUAGAAUUCAUGGUGAGAUGAUGCUAAGAAUCUUGUCGAGGGUGAAAUGGCUAGGUUUCAUGUAAUUUACUUUUCUUUAAUUCUUUUCAGUAUUAAGCAAAUUAAUUUUGUGGGUAAUUGCUACUUUACAUCAGAGUAUUAAUUUUUAAUGUUUGCUUAAUCGAAAUUUGAGAAAGUUUGAUAUAUUUGGGUGUUUUUGCUUAUGAGAUAUGUGUGUGAAUUUCGGCUUAAAUGGGUGCGAACUGGCGAUAAAGUUAGAUUUCCUUAAUGAUUGAUAAUUAUUUGUUACUAUUUUUGUCAUAGACAAGGAUCAUAUAUUGGAAUGUCAAUUCUAAAAGGUUUUCCAACACGUACAAGGGGACAUUAAUUCUUGUUUAGUACUGGAUCAUAAAAGAAUGUCCCAGUUGGUGUAUCACGACAUGUGAAGAUGGAUAAAAAUUCAUGUAUAAGUUAUGAUAGAGAUAGAAUCUCUUAUGAUAUUUGAUGAACAAUAGACUUCUAGUCGCAUUAGGUUUCCUACUACAAUUAGGACUAAUGUUGUAACCCAUUAUAUAUAUUCGAUCAAUAGAAUCACUCCAAUUCACGGAGUUUCACAAUAUCUAACAUGGUAUCAGAGCCAUAGUCAGAAAAAUGGGCCUGAGGGGGUUGGAACUGCUGCUGCCCAUAUUGGUUGUAGUGGAGUUGGGCUGGGCGCAUAUUAAGCCCAAAAUUUGUGGCUGGCCUAUGUUGCUGUUGGAUAGGCUGUUAUGGUGGAUGGGCCUGGUACCCAAUGUUGUACCCACUAAACUUGCUGAGUUGGGGCAGGCCAAUUGGAAUGAGAUGAACCGGCCCACUGUUGCGGCUGUUGCGGUUGGGCUCCCACUGGCUGGGCUGAAUGGUGCGGCUGCCCACCACUGCCCUUGCCACGCCCCUUUCCGCGGCCCCCUUUACCACCACGACCCCUACCCCGACCGCCACCACCUCUACCGCCGCCACCUCCUCCAGAAUUUCGUGGUGGCUACUGCGGCUGUGGUGGUGGUGACGUGGUAGGCGGUGCUUGUUACACGACAAAACUAGAUUGUGUACCGCUUGUGUACUGGGAUCUACGUUCUUCUUCGGCCAAGAGACGAUUUUGGGGAUUCUCAAAGGUGGGAAGAGGAUCUGUCUGUUGUAUCAUUGUAGCAACGGUGUCAAAGUCAGUAUUGACAAGACCUGCAACAAGACGUAGGACUAGCUUUUGUUCCGUCAGUGGUUGAUCAACAUUAGCUAACUAAUCUGCCAAAACUUUCAAGUGUGUGCAAUAAGAAUUAACGUCAGCAAAAUUAUUUAGAUGCAAAGUAGUGAAUUGAUUUUCAAGAUAAACAGCCCGAGUAUUUUUAUUAUCCUGAAAAAUUCCCUUGAGUUUGUUCCAGAUUUGUUGAGUCGAAUCCCCUCGACAAAGAAUUGAUUGUAGGAGGUCGUUGGAGAUAGUACCAUAGAUCCAUUGUUUCACUAUUGAAUCAAGACGCUUCCACAUAGUGUCAGAUAAAUCUGAAAGUUUCGGAGUAUUUGGAUCUAUAUGAUCUAGAACAUUAAAAGCAUGAGCAUGACAUUCAAACAAUUCGACCCAGUUGGAGUAUUGUACCUGUUCACGGUCUAGGGUGAUCGUGUGAGGGGGUCGAAAAAGCGCGAGGCUAAUGCGUGACCUGUCCCUCGUGGGUGUGACGAUUAUUUUUAUUCAAUCAAGUGUAAUUGGAUUUCCUGUGAGUAUACACCCAAUUGACUAGUAAUAUAGGAGUCGCCAUUCAGUUUUUAACGACAAUGAGAAAAACUGACAAAACCCGGUUAUCGUGACAUAAAGGGAGUGCAAUUAUGUUUGACCACGACGGCCGUAGGUUCCCUUGUGAUCCCUGGUGUGGGGAUCUCUCAAUAUACACCCGCAAGGUAGAGAUUGAGGGUUCGGGGGACUGUAACUACCGAGAGGAGUAAUUCGCUCGUCGAUAACUCCAGAGGCAGGAUAUCCUUACUAGCUCAUCAUAAAUAAUUGAAGGGACAUGCGUUAACUAUUAAACUAAUCUGAGUUGAUUUUAGCAAUAUGCAACAUAUAAUACUAACUCGAUCGUGAUUAUCUGGUUUAAAUAGCAUUAAGGGACCUAGCAUGAUAAUCCGAUUUCCCAAAAAUAUUAUAUUUAUUAGGCGUGAUAGAACAAUCAUAUUAGGUUAGUUUAACAGUUCAUAAAA